UCAACAAAGAAACUGUUCCUGCUGCUUCCA
rnacentral:piRNA from 1 species